rnacentral:lncRNA from 1 species
CUCCAUGCUCUCCACAACCCUUUCCAUGUUGCCAUCUAGUGCAGUGCAAGGAUCCACCUAGCAUUCGGUAUAAAACGCCCGCCUCGCGCCGAGUCUCGUGGAGGUCGCAUUUAGUUCGCAGGAACUGACAUCAGAAAGUGGAACAAGCAAAGUUGCAAAUGGUGAAAUCACCAUUGAAUUGGUACCAAAAAUUUGAUUCGGCUGUAUAGGUAUCCUACUUGAAAAUUGCACAUUUUUCUUCAAGAUCUGCAAAGUUGCAACUGAUCAGAGCUCCUCGGCUCCAGGCAUGGGUGUGAAGGUACUCAAGUGCUUCUCCUGGUACAGACGCUGUAAGGAACGAUGCAAGGCUAAACAGUGCCCCCCACCUGCAGUCCCCAGAGAGGAGAUGAAGCCUCGCCUGUCGUCUACGGUGUCGUGUGGUAGCCAGGGCGAGGGCGGUAGCAGCCUGAGCGGAUCCCAGAUCUACUUCUCCACCAAGGCUCGCCUCUCCUUCAGACACCAGAUGGACAGCAACUUCAACGCAGUGGACGCAACCUGCUGA